GACGAACGCUGGCGGCGUGCUUAACACAUGCAAGUCGAACGGAAAGGCCCUGCUUUUGUGGGGUGCUCGAGUGGCGAACGGGUGAGUAACACGUGAGUAACCUGCCCUUGACUUUGGGAUAACUUCAGGAAACUGGGGCUAAUACCGGAUAGGAGCUCCUGCUGCAUGGUGGGGGUUGGAAAGUUUCGGCGGUUGGGGAUGGACUCGCGGCUUAUCAGCUUGUUGGUGGGGUAGUGGCUUACCAAGGCUUUGACGGGUAGCCGGCCUGAGAGGUUGACCGGCCACAUUGGGACUGAGAUACGGCCCAGACUCCUACGGGAGGCAGCAGUGGGGAGUAUUGCACAAUGGGCGGAAGCCUGAUGCAGCAACGCCGCGUGCGGGAUGACGGCCUUCGGGUUAUAAACCGCUUUCGCCUGUGACGAAGCGUGAGUGACGGUAAUGGGUAAAGAAGCACCGGCUAACUACGUG
rnacentral:rRNA from 1 species